GACGCACGCUGGCGGCGUGCCUAAUACAUGCAAGUAGAACGAGUUGCGAACGGGUGAGUAACGCGUGGUAACCUGCCUCAUAUCGGGGGAUAACUACUGGAAACGGUAGCUAAUACCGCAUACCAUCAGAUGUGCCCAGCUGGGAUUAGCUUGUUGGUUGGGUAACGGCUCCCCAAGGGGACGAUCCCUCGCUGGGCUGAGAGGAUGACCGGCCACACUGGAACUGAGACACGGUCCAGACUCCUACGUGAGGCAGCAGUGGGGAAUAUUGCACAAUGGGCGCAAUCCUGAUGCAGCCAGGCCGCGUGUAUGAAGACGGCCUUCGGGUUGUAAAGUACUUUCAGCGGGGAGGCGUUACCCGCAGAAGAAGCACCGGCUAACUCCGUGCCAGCAGCCGCGGUAAUUC
rnacentral:rRNA from 1 species